rfam:Eggerthella sp. CAG:298, WGS project CBHI01000000 data, contig: 56
GGGGCAUUAGCUCAGCUGGGAGAGCGCAUGGCUGGCAGCCAUGAGGUCAGGGGUUCGAUCCCCCUAUGCUCCA